rnacentral:rRNA from 1 species
CAGUCGCCGCGGGAAUACGUAGGGUGCAAGCGUUAAUCGGAAUUACUGGGCGUAAAGCGUGCGCAGGCGGUUCGCUAAGACAGAUGUGAAAUCCCCGGGCUUAACCUGGGAACUGCAUUUGUGACUGGCGGGCUAGAGUAUGGCAGAGGGGGGUAGAAUUCCACGUGUAGCAGUGAAAUGCGUAGAGAUGUGGAGGAAUACCGAUGGCGAAGGCAGCCCCCUGGGCCAAUACUGACGCUCAUGCACGAAAGCGUGGGGAGCAAACAGGAUUAGAUACCCCCGUAGUCCCUGUCUCUUAUAC